GCCAAUCGACCUACCCACCAGUGGUACCAAUUCCAGUAUUUGCGCAGCUUGGCGUCCUUCCCGGGGCGUGCUAUGACAGCUAACACCUGUUACAGACAUUUUUACGAUUAAUUCACUGUGAGGAGCAAAACGAAUUGAUAAAGAACCACGCAGGGUCAAGGCUUUUGGCGUAGCGAGCAAAUAGGACCCCAAUGGGCAGCAGGAUUCCCCACCCGAACACCUGCAACGCUCCGUGAGUCCUCACUCUCUUUUGAAGCUUAUCAGCUGCAGAUUCUCCUACACUACCUGCAACGCCAAAACGCGCCAGCAAGUCAGAUUCGAAAGACCUCCGCGACGAGUGUUAACAACGACUCUAUUCUUGACCUUGAGCGUACAGCAGGAAGUUAGGCUUAGCCAACGACUUGGCAAAAUCGAUUUGAAACGCCAUGAAAACAGUCUUUUGUUUACUGUCAUAGCUAAGCUCCGGACCUGCUACGAAGGUUAUUCUGGUAGCAUCA